rnacentral:rRNA from 1 species
AUCCGGAAUCAUUGGGUUUAAAGGGUCCGUAGGCGGGAAGGUCAGUCAGUGGUGAAAGUCUGUGGCUCAACCAUAGAAUUGCCAUUGAAACUGCUUUCCUUGAGUUGUCGUGAAGUGGUUGGAACAUGUAGUGUAGCGGUGAAAUGCAUAGAUAUUACAUAGAACACCUAUUGCGAAGGCAGAUCACUAACGAUAUACUGACGCUGAUGGACGAAAGCGUGGGUAGCGAACAGGAUUAGAUACCCUGGUAGUCCACGCCGUAAACGAUGGUCACUAGCUGUCCGGUGCGCAUUGGCGUGCUGGGUGGCCAAGCGAAAGUGAUAAGUGACCCACCUGGGGAGUACGUUCGCAAGAAUGAAACUCAAAGGAAUUGACGGGGGCCCGCACAAGCGGUGGAGCAUGUGGUUUAAUUCGAUGAUACGCGAGGAACCUUACCAGGGCUUAAAUGCAGUCCGACAUCCCGGGAAACCGGGACUCCUUCGGGCGGAUUGCAAGGUGCUGCAUGGUUGUCGUCAGCUCGUGCCGUGAGGUGUCAGGUUAAGUCCUAUAACGAGCGCAACCCCUGUUGUUAGUUGCCAGCACGUGAUGGUGGGAACUCUAGCAAGACUGCCGGUGCAAACCGUGAGGAAGGUGGGGACGACGUCAAAUCAUCACGGCCCUUACGUCCUGGGCCACACACGUGCUACAAUGGUGGGGACAGAGAGCAGCCACUUCGCAAGAAGGAGCGAAUCUACAAACCCCAUCACAGUUCGGAUCGGGGUCUGCAACCCGACCCCGUGAAGCUGGAAUCGCUAGUAAUCGCAUAUCAGCCAUGAUGCGGUGAAUACGUUCCCGGGCCUUGUACACACCGCCCGUCAAGCCAUGGAAGCCGGGGGUGCCUGAAGUCCGUUGCCGCAAGGAGCGGCCUAGGGCAAAACCGGUAACUGGGGCUAAGUCGUAACAAGGUAGCA